rnacentral:rRNA from 1 species
GACGAACGCUGGCGGCAGGCUUAACACAUGCAAGUCGAGCGCCCCGCAAGGGGAGCGGCAGACGGGUGAGUAACGCGUGGGAAUCUACCGUACCCUACGGAAUAGCUCCGGGAAACUGGAAUUAAUACCGUAUACGCCCUACGGGGGAAAGAUUUAUCGGGGUAUGAUGAGCCCGCGUUGGAUUAGCUAGUUGGUGGGGUAAAGGCCUACCAAGGCGACGAUCCAUAGCUGGUCUGAGAGGAUAAUCAGCCACAUUGGGACUGAGACACGGCCCAAACUCCUACGGGAGGCAGCAGUGGGGAAUAUUGGACAAUGGGCGCAAGCCUGAUCCAGCCAUGCCGCGUGAGUGAUGAAGGUCUUAGGAUUGUAAAGCUCUUUCACCGGUGAAGAUAAUGACGGUAACCGGAGAAGAAGCCCCGGCUAACUUCGUGCCAGCCGCCGCGGUAACAC